UUCUUGCAGUUCCAGACAGAGCUCCGGAAGAUCUUAGUUUCUCUCAUAGAAGUUGCACAGAAAUUGCUAGCACUGAACCCAGAUGCAGUUGAGCUAUUUAAGAAGGCAAAUGCCAUGCUGGAUGAGGAUGAGGAAGACAGAGUGGAUGAGAUAGCUCUGCGACAGCUUA